AAAGCAUUCUCUGGUGUUGAAGGCCCUGCAAAGCAGCAUCGCGGUGGCGGAGCGUCGUUUGCGACGCCCAACACACAAAACAAGCGGUGAGUGCUUUGGGGUGGGGUGACUGCGUACCUUUUGUAUAAUGGGUCAGCGACUUAUAUUCUGUAGCAAGGUUAACCGUAUAGGGGAGCCGUAGGGAAACCGAGUCUUAACCGGGCGUUAAGUUGCAGGGUAUAGACCCGAAACCCGGUGAUCUAGCCAUGGGCAGGUUGAAGGUUGGGUAACACUAACUGGAGGACCGAACCGACUAAUGUUGAAAAAUUAGCGGAUGACUUGUGGCUGGGGGUGAAAGGCCAAUCAAACCGGGAGAUAGCUGGUUCUCCCCGAAAGCUAUUUAGGUAGCGCCUCGUGAAUUCAUCUUCGGGGGUAGAGCACUGUUUCGGCUAGGGGGUCAUCCCGACUUACCAACCCGAUGCAAACUGCGAAUACCGGAGAAUGUUAUCACGGGAGACACACGGCGGGUGCUAACGUCCGUCGUGAAGAGGGAAACAACCCAGACCGCCAGCUAAGGUCCCAAAGUCAUGGUUAAGUGGGAAACGAUGUGGGAAGGCCCAGACAGCCAGGAUGUUGGCUUAGAAGCAGCCAUCAUUUAAAGAAAGCGUAAUAGCUCACUGGUCGAGUCGGCCUGCGCGGAAGAUGUAACGGGGCUAAACCAUGCACCGAAGCUGCGGCAGCGACACUGUGUGUUGUUGGGUAGGGGAGCGUUCUGUAAGCCUGCGAAGGUGGCCUGUGAGGGUUGCUGGAGGUAUCAGAAGUGCGAAUGCUGACAUAAGUAACGAUAAAGCGGGUGAAAAACCCGCUCGCCGGAAGACCAAGGGUUCCUGUCCAACGUUAAUCGGGGCAGGGUGAGUCGACCCCUAAGGCGAGGCCGAAAGGCGUAGUCGAUGGGAAACAGGUUAAUAUUCCUGUACUUGGUGUUACUGCGAAGGGGGGACGGAGAAGGCUAUGUUGGCCGGGCGACGGUUGUCCCGGUUUAAGCGUGUAGGUGUGUGUUCCAGGUAAAUCCGGUUCACUUUAACAC
rnacentral:rRNA from 1 species